UUGACAUAAAUAUUCGAGCGUACACAAGUUAAUUUAUACUUCGGUUAACUAUUUGGAUUUUUAACUACACACUUCAACUUUAUGGGAGUCCUAUCAUCCCCUCAAAUUAUAUAAAACUGAACUAAUUACACCCUUAAAAAGUCACAACCACAUUUAUGUUGAUAUGUGAAAUUCACGUGCUUGACACGUGGAAAUUUUAUUAAUUUGAUAUUUUUUCAUUCUUCUUUAUAAUUCCUUUCCCCUUUCUCCUACACUCUUCCAAUUUCUUCAAAUCUUAAAGUAAUUUCUUCUCCCAUCUCCUUCGAAUUCCUAAAGUAACUUUCCUAUAACUUAUACACCAAAAUCCAUUGGAAUUGAAUUGUGAAGAACAAAAAUGAACAAUGAUAGCAGAGCUCAUCAAGUGAUAUUCGAGCUUUGUUCGUCGAAAAACAUGAAAAAUAAGCUAACAAGAUUUGUGCAUAUCGUUACUUUGUCGAGGUUUUUCUUGAUUCAGCGGAGUUCGCCGAUCUCGAAUCAAUGCGAGGAGGAGAGAAAGGAUUUUGCUGGUGGUUUGGGUUUCGCCAGAGGCGGGAUAGUGGUGGCUGCGAUAGCAUUUCACUGGCCAGUCGAACAAUGAAGAGAGAGAAAUCUUUCCUGCCAAAUCGCGAUAUAGAUGGUUCUUCUUCUAUCCCCGGGAUAAGAAGUACUCGAAUGGCUCACGAGCCAAUCGAGCCAUUCGAGCUACUAAGGCUGGAUACUGGAACGCAACUGGUAAAGACGGGAAAGUUGUAUUUCAUGAGCCUGAAGUUGUUGGAUAUCGAAAGACAUUAGUGUUCUAUCAAGGUAGAUCUCCUCUCGGAGACAAAACAGAUUGGAUGGAUGAUGUACGAGUAUCGUCUCUGUGAUGAUGUUUCACAAGACGCUACGAGUUUCUAGGUAGAUUCAACAAACUCAAUGUUCUACUACUUGAGUCGAGGGUCUUUUGGAAACAACCUUUCUACAGUUCUACCUCCACGAGGUAGUGGUAAGGUAUGUGUACACUCUACCCUCCUCAGACCCCAGACUUCACUUGUGGGAUUUCACUGCAUAUGUUGUUGUUGUUUGAUCAUAUUCUACUAUUUGAAUAUGUUCAAGAGGCGUUUGCACUUUGUCGUAUCAUCAAAAGAAAAAAUGCCUCAUCGAAAACAAGUGAAAUUUCACUAGCAAUCUCGAACAAUCCUGCUGUUCUUACUGCUGAAACGUGCAACGAUAGCAACUAUUAGACUCCUAUUAGGAUGUCAUAUGAUCAUAUGAGUCUUGAUUCUUCAAUGGUAUUGAAUUGUUCCUUUUUUGUACCUCUUCUGUAUUUAACUCUGUUUCUUUUGAACUUCAUAAUGAUUCUGGUGGCUUCCUUCGUGUAGGAAUGUCCUCGCUAUGAGUUCCCAAACGUGGCAUCGUGGCAACCAAAUGAUCGAAUUGAGGUCACAACAAGCUCAACUUCCCCUCUUAAAUUCGGGGAAGUUGAACCUUCGGGUGAUCUUAGUAGCUUUGGUUGUGUAUCUCCCUACUCGAUUCAUUGAAGCUACACGAGGCUUUAUGAUAGUAAUGUUAUGUCAUACGAAGGAAAUGAAGGUUGGAAUCAAGCUAAUUUGGGAGAUGUAAACGGUUUAUGGUCACACGAAGAUAACUUUCAGUAACUGAAUCAACGCGAUUCAGUACUCUAAUUUAUCUGAGACGACAACUUUUUUAUGUUCGUCUCAGAGACAUUGGAUUAUAGCACAUCGAAUAUGGUUUCCCCGAGUUCAAUUCUAGUUAGUACGUUCUACAUUGUUGUCGUUGAUGUAUGAGAGAAAACUAGCGAUGAUCCUACUUAACGAUCACAUGAUUCUCUUUAUGAUGUGUAUGGAAUACCAAGCAUCAAAUGUAGCCAAAAAGUUAGUAGUCAACUAUUGAAUAGUUCAAAAGUAUGUUGUUCAGACUCUUCAAAAAUGUCGACUAAUGUGAGUCAGAUCCUCCAAAAAUAGCGUAUUUUUUGUCGUAUCUUUUAAGCGUUUGAGUAACAUAGGUUCAAAAU